AUGGACAUGAGGGCUCCUGCUCAAUUUCUUGCAUUCUUGUUACUGUGGUUUCCAGGUGCCAGAUGUGACAUCCAGAUGACCCAGUCUCCAUCCUCCAUGNCUGUAUCUUUGGGAGAAACAGUCAGCAUCACUUGCCGUGCAAGUCAGGGCAUUAGCAGUGAUUUAAGCUGGUUGCAGCAGAAACCAGGGAAAUCUCCUAAGACCCUGAUCUCUUAUGCAACCAACUUGGAAGAUGGGGUCCCAUCACGGUUCAGUGGCAGUGGGUCUGGGGCAGGUUAUUCUCUCACCAUCAGCAGCCUGGAGUCUGAAGAUUAUGCAGACUAUUACUGUGUACAGUAUUAUCAGUUUCCUCCCACAGUGAUACAAGUGAUAACAUAA